UACGAAGGGGGCUAGCGUUGCUCGGAAUCACUGGGCGUAAAGCGCGCGUAGGCGGCUAUUCAAGUCAGAGGUGAAAUGCCAGGGCUUAACCCUGGAACUGCCUUUGAAACUGUAUAGCUGGAGUGUCGGAGGGGAUGGCGGAAUUCCUAAUGUAGAGGUGAAAUUCGUAGAUAUUAGGAGGAACACCGGUGGCGAAGGCGGCCAUCUGGACGACAACUGACGCUGAGGCGCGAAAGCGUGGGGAUCAAACAGG
rnacentral:rRNA from 1 species